CCUACAGACAAACUUCGUAUAAUCGUAACCGUGACUCAUCGAUUUCCGAAACCUAUCAUCCUACGCCUGCACUCUGUUACAUUCCGGAAUUUGUUACUAUUUGUUACUAAUUCAGUUAAUUCAAGAAUAAUAAUAAUAAGAAGAAACGGAAAACUAGACUAGAAAACUAAAGAAAUUUAACACUAAAAAAACUUCAAUUUCAAAUUCAAAACUAAUUAACUUGGCAAAACUAUUUAAAAACUAUUUACAUUUUUAUAAAUAUACAUUUAAACUAAUGUUAAGCAUAAUUAUUUACAAGAAAGGAGAAAAAUAUAACAAAACGAAAAAGGAAAAUACAAAAAAGCAAAUACAAGAUUGUGACCUAUCACAUAGGUAACAAUUAUCCCGGAUCGGGUGUAAAAAAAAACAAAGUUUUUUUUAUUAUGGGGUCCUCUACAAUCGAGUGAUUACAAAAAAAAGUUCAAGCAAAAGUUCUCUCUUCUUCCAGAUUUAAUUGAUUUGGUGCAAUGAUUGAUCCUAUGCGGCAAGUGCUGUUGCUCGAAAUCACCUAAAUUUGGAAGAAUGAGCCUGCUUUUGCAUGAAUCCGGUUUCUGUUCUCUGCCUCCGACUAUAGGAUUCCCAGGCGUCCAACUAUAAGUUUCGCUACACAACUCUCUGCUCUGCCAAUUUUAGUUGAUUCUUCGCAAUGAUUGAUCCUGGACGGCAAGUGCUGUUCCGAGGAAUCAUAUAAAAUUGGAAGAGUGAGCCUGGUUGUCGCGGAAUUCGUCUUUGUCAAAACUUUCAAUAUCCGAAACUUUUCUUUGAGCUACCAUGUGGAUAGAACUGCUGUUUAUUCUUUACAUAGUUCUCUUCUCUUCAAAAUUCAGGUUGAUUUGGAGCAAUGAUUGUUCCUAUGCGGCAAGUGCUGUUCCUCUAAAUCACUUGAAUUUGGAAGAGUGAGCCUGCUAUGAAUAGAAAUAUAGCAAUCCUUUCCGGUCGCUUGAAGGAAAAGAGCCGGAGCUUCCAAAGUCUUUCCAUUUGGUAGAGGGAUCUGCGUGUCGAGAUUUGGUCAACUAUGAAGACCUAUUCAACUAGUAGUUCUCUGCUAUUUCAAAUUCAAUUUAAUUGAGAGCAAUGAUUGUUCCUGAGCGUCAAGUGCUGUUGCUCUUAAUUACGUGAAUUUGAAAUAGUGAGGCUCACUAUCUAGUUGAAUACGUACUUCUAUGUCGCCAUGAUCUGGACAGGUGAUUUGUCCCGAGAAUUAAUUAGAAUUAUUAAAUUGUGAUCUGCAAACUGCAAUUGUACUUGAAAUUACAAAACCAUAUUUCGUCAGAAAAGCUCGCAUUUUGCCACUCACAGAACCCACUGAAUACAAGGCCUCAAUUAAUUAUUUUCCUGUCAACAUUCGUUGACAAAAUAACUUAGAACUAAAUAAUGUACUUAAUUAGAGAGAAAAACAAUGAUUACUUCUCUUUUUUUUUUAAUGACGUCACAAGAUUUCACUUGGACCAGAUUUUAUUUUCAUAUACUCACAUUCAAACAUUUCAUUUCACAAACAUUCAUCAAUCCACUCAAUCAUUUCAUUUCCACUCAUUCCCAUUCAUAAUUUUCAGUCAUCCCAUUCAUUCACACUUACUCAUUCAAAAAUUACACUCAUCCUACUUAAUUACUACUAAAACACAUGAUUUUAGGGCGCCCUUAACUUAAUAUUGUUUCUUAGAUCACUCUAGCGUCUCUUAUUCUAAGAAAACUGGUGGUCUUUCUGCGAAACUUAAAUUUAAUGAACCGAUCUCAAUGCUGCUUCUUUACUCUCUCGCAUGCGAGAAAAAAUUGCAAGCAACAUGAGGGGCUUUUAAUGACUACAGCGAAUGUCGACCAUACCAGGUUGAAAAAGCCUUUUACUCAGCCCUGUGUAUGUCGACUAAAUAAAGAAGGCUCUUGUGUGGGUGUGAAAUGUCAAAGUAUGUUUACAUUUCGCCCGAAAUACGAGUUGAAGCACCGUGAACCGUGAAAAUAUUUCACCUUUUCACGGUUUUAUCACAGUUUGCAGGUGCAACGAAUAAUUAUUUUGUUACAUCCAGAUAGAAAAAAGGAAUGAAUAAAGAAUGGAAAAGAAAAUUAUCGACUUGUUUAUUUUUUUUCUUCGAAAAAUAAUAUCUAAGUGAUUCAUAAUCGAUUUAGCAUACGAUCGAUUGAUCAAAACAAAAAUCUCUGAUUUAUUGCGCUGGUUGUUAAGUUGGGUUUGCCAGCAAUGAUUAUGGCUAAUUGGUUGUUGUCAUGUUCGUGUAAGUAUAAGUACUCUCUUUCGGUUGGGUUACACUUUGAUGCUGCGAUGUAACGCACCUAUUUAUGAAUUGAUGCGGUAUUGUGAAUGGCAGAGACACAAUCUGUACAUAAAAUGUACGUGGAGUGCUCGAAAUUUCUUACAGGGUGGCCAUGUUUGCCACAAUUGAAGCAUCUGUCUUCAGGUGGGGGAUGAUACGAAUCGAAAAGGUAUUCGUAUGACGAUGAUCUUUUCGCAUGAUUAGCGGUAAGAGUGGAUUUCACUGAAUGAAAUUUAGGGUCGAAUGAGUAUGGUAUGGGCAAUUGGGGUGGAUUAAACGACUGGUGCCUAAAAUUGAACAAAUAAUCACCGUUCCUUAAUUUCGGGCUACACUGCGGAUUUAGCCUGUAAGUCAUUAAAGGUGAUCGUGCAUUGUCACACUUUGACUGUGAUGAAAUGUCUGGUAAAUUCUGGAAUGCAUUUGAGUGACUUAUUCCGUUCGAAGAAUUUGAAUCAAUUGACGAAUCAUUUGACGUCGGUGAAUUUAUGUAGGCUUGUUGCAGGUCGAUUACCGGUCCUGAUUCAACAGAAUCAGGUGCAGAAAUACUCGAUAGACUGCCGUCGGCAACUGGAAUUUGCACUUUUGAUUCUUCUCCGCUAUUUUCAACCAGUUUACUUUCAAGUUCUUUGACUCGAAAUAACAAAGACUCCAAAACAGUUUUCUCAUCCGCACUCAUAUUCGGUUGUCUUGCACAUAACUGCGUAUAGUCAAACAUGAAGGUAGAAAACGUAGGCAUUGCCAUAAGAUCAAUUCACAAAAUAAUAAAAACCAAAAUGCA